rnacentral:rRNA from 1 species
GAUGAACGCUGGCGGCGUGCCUAAUACAUGCAAGUCGAGCGAACAGAUGAGGAGCUUGCUCCUCUGACGUUAGCGGCGGACGGGUGAGUAACACGUGGAUAACCUACCUAUAAGACUGGGAUAACUUCGGGAAACCGGAGCUAAUACCGGAUAAUAUAUUGAACCGCAUGGUUCAAUAGUGAAAGACGGUUUUGCUGUCACUUAUAGAUGGAUCCGCGCCGCAUUAGCUAGUUGGUAAGGUAACGGCUUACCAAGGCAACGAUGCGUAGCCGACGUGAGAGGGUGAUCGGCCACACUGGAACUGAGACGCGGUCCAGACUCCUACGGGAGGCAGCAGUAGGGAAUCGUCCGCAAUGGGCGAAAGCCUGACGGAGCAACGCCGCGUGAGUGAUGAAGGUCUUCGGAUCGUAAAACUCUGUUAUUAGGGAAGAACAAAUGUGUAAGUAACUAUGCACGUCUUGACGGUACCUAAUCAGAAAGCCACGGCUAACUACGUG